rnacentral:rRNA from 1 species
ACUCCUACGGGAGGCAGCAGUGGGGAAUAUUGCACAAUGGGGGGAAACCCUGAUCCAGCCAUGCCGCGUGUGUGAAGAAGGCCUUCGGGUUGUAAAAGCACUUUCAGUGGGGAGGAAAGGAUUGUUGGUUAAUACCUAACAGCUGUGACGUUACCCACAGAAGAAGCACCGGCUAACUCCGUGCCAGCAGCCGCGGUAAUACGGAGGGUGCAAGCGUUAAUCGGAAUUACUGGGCGUAAAGCGUGCGCAGGCGGUCUGUUAAGCGAGAUGUGAAA